GACCCUUUUACACAGUACUAUGUGUGCUUAACCUGGUACGCCGCUGCCCAGCCCCACUAAAAAAGCAAUGUUAGAUUCACUGAACAGACCCAUCUCCAGGUGGAAGGUAUAUAGUAUGUGUGUCCUGAACUUAUGACUGGGGAAUGCUAGGAAUUUGGGUUCUGGUGUCACUGAGGAAAAUGGCCCCGCCUCUCUGCACUUUGAUUUCCUCUUAAGAAAAUUCUGUUCCUUUAUAAGGCUCAGCAGCCCUAGCAGGAAAGGUGCUUUGUGGAGUUUCCCAUAAAGUGGAGUCUUAACUCAAAGGCUGGGUUAAAGGAAAGAGAGGAAUUGAGAAAGAAGGAAACAAUAGAGAGGGAGAGAAUGAGCGACUACUGCAGUACUGUUUUACAGCUUGUGAAGUUUCCCUCCUGCAGGCAGGGAGCAGAAGCUUGAAUCCUGAUCCUCCCAUGAGGGAAGGAAAAAGGAAAGCACAGGUGCCCCACUUCAGAACACACAGAGAAAUAUGAGAGAAGGACAACACACCCUUUCUGAGAAAUGGAAGAUGUAAAAAGUGCAAGCAAAAUUCUGAGUUGGUGCUGUGCAACCAGGGAGGUAGUUUAGUGGAUAAAGCUUGAACAUUCAGGUAUGAGGUAGUGAAUUCAAUCCUGGACACCACUGGUGUUGAAGUGAUAUUCUCAUUCUGUCUCCUCCUCUUCUGUUUCAUUAAUGAAUUAAUGAAUACAUAAAUCUUUAGUGAAUACAUAAAUAUUUAAAAAAAUAAUAUGUGGAAAACUGGGAAAUGUUAUGUAUUAAAAACUAUUGUAUUUACUGUCGGCUGUAAAACAUUAAUCCCCCAAUAAAGAAAU